GACUGUUUUCACUGUGACAACGCGGCUGCGGGUUAGCGUAGCAUGAGCUGAAAGAUGGAAGCUGUGUUCCAGGCUCCAAAACGGAGGCCAAAAGUUUAUGAAUCAUUUGAGAGCCCGCUACCUGUUCCAAUCACCAAAGAGGCUUCCUCGCCUCAGAGCCUCAUAUACAAAGCUGAGGUCAUUAACCAGCAUGUUAUAGUCAGAGAACCUGACCACAUUCAAGCUCUAUAUGGAAAGGGCUAUUUUGGUAAAGGAAUUCUGUCAAGAAGCAGACCGGAGUACAGUAUUUCGGAUCGGUGGGAAUAUAUUGGUGACAAAUAUUUACCUGUUAUCCCUUUGUCAGAAUACCAAAAACACAUGACAUGGGCCCGCUCUGCUCUUCUGUCACAGGGCUUAGAUGAAGAGGUUGCCAAUCAGGUACUGCAAAAGCUCACACAGCCAGUUGAACUGAAUCUACGAGGAGAACAUGAUGAAGAACAUAUUGAAGAACAAGUUAGCCAUCAAAAAAGUCCAGAGUUGGCAUCAUCUCAGGCGCCAUCUUCAGAUAGCUUAGAUCAAGACCAGUUAAUGGAGGAUGUGGCAGCAGCAGAAGACAUAAGCGAUGAAGGAAAGGACUUAGAAUGCACUGAGGCUAAAAUACCUUGUAGACAAGGAGAUCCUCUGUAUGAUCCUCUUGCUGAACUCUAUUCUCAAGAACCUGAGCAGGUGGAUACGAAUGCACUUGCCAAGGUCAAGUGCAAAAGGCACGACGACUGGAUCGUUCACUGCGGAUGUCGGCUGGACGAGAGCCAAAUGAUGAGUGUUCUGUUCAAGUCAGGUUCAGAAGGCAGUGACCCAUCUGUAGCUCAUGGAUAUGUUCUGGUGGAGGAACCCAGUGAAGACGACGAUGGGGAUCCCAUUCACGAUAACACUUCCACAGUGAGAACAGGCAAGCUGGUUUGCAGAAUCAACCCUUUUAACAUGAUGGAAUACCUACAGCUCAGUUAUGAAGAGGCUUUCUUUCUGGUUUAUGCAUUGGGCUGCUUAUCAGUUUACUAUGAUGGGGAGCCACUGUCAGUCCUUCAAGUUUGGCGAAUGUUUUGUUCAGUGCAGCCCAACUUUGAGACCACCUACGCAGCCUAUCACUAUUUCCGCAGUAAAGGAUGGGUGCCCAAGUCUGGGAUUAAAUAUGGGACAGAUUUAAUGCUCUAUCGGAAAGGACCACCAUUUUAUCAUGCAAGCAGUGCAUCACUUUUAAUGGGACUACAUCAACAUGGCAAUUUCUGCUGCACAUCUAACAAUCACUUUUCACCGAUUAAGGUGAACAUCUGAUCAAUCAGGGACAGUCUUCUGAUGGAGGCAAGCCCCUUUAGUUCUUUUUGGCUCUCUUUUUUUUCCUCUUUGUAACAUCUGUGGUGUCAAUCACAUGAAAAAUAUCGCUUUUCGGUUAAGGAAACGGGCCGGAUUCACAAAAGCUUUCUUAAGAAAAGUCUUGCGAAGGUUCUAAAGACAAGCGCUAAGAGCUACUCUGUGGUGGUGGAGAGAGUAGACGAGUCGUUUCAAGGUGCUCCACUAAGGCCCUUCAGCUGGAGGUCUUUCGCUGCCCUGAGCCGAACCACCGGUAACGUCUCAAAGGAGCUGAUGCUGUGUUAUGUGAUCAUGCCAUCAGAC